CACGUAGGGUGCGAGCGUUGUCCGGAAUUAUUGGGCGUAAAGAGCUCGUAGGCGGUCUGUCGCGUCGGCUGUGAAAACUGGGGGCUCAACCCUCCGACUCGCAGUGGGUACGGGCAGACUAGAGUGCGGUAGGGGAGAUUGGAAUUCCCGUGUAGCUGGCGGUGAAAUGCGCAGAUAUCGGGAGGAACACCGGUGGCGAAGGCGGUUCUCUGGGCCUGUACUGACGCUGAGGAGCGAAAGCGUGGGGAGCGAACAGG
rnacentral:rRNA from 1 species